UACGUAGGUGACAAGCGUUGUCCGGAUUUACUGGGCGUAAAGAGCGCGCAGGCGGUCGUUCAAGUCGAGUGUGAAAGCCCCCGGCUCAACUGGGGAGGGGCAUUCGAUACUGAUCGACUCGAAGGCAGGAGAGGGUAGUGGAAUUCCCGGUGUAGUGGUGAAAUGCGUAGAUAUCGGGAGGAACACCAGUGGCGAAGGCGACUACCUGGCCUGUUCUUGACGCUGAGGCGCGAAAGCUAGGGGAGCAAACGGG
rnacentral:rRNA from 1 species